CCCUUAGAUGUCCGGGGCCGCACGCGCGCUACACUGAAGGAAUCAGCGUGGCUUUCUCCCUGACCCGAAAGGGUUGGGAAACCCGUUGAAUCUCCUUCGUGAUAGGGAUUGGGGCUUGAAAUUGUUCCCCAUGAACGAGGAAUUCCCAGUAAGCGCGAGUCAUAAGCUCGCGUUGAGUACGUCCCUGCCCUUUGUACACACCGCCCGUCGCUACUACCGAUUGAACGGUUUAGUGAGGGCCUCGGAUUGGUCUCGGCCCGCUCUUUACCGGGCGGCGCCGUUGGUCGAGAAGACGCUCGAACUUGAUCGUUUAGAGGAAGUAAAAGUCGUAACA
rnacentral:rRNA from 1 species